CAUUGCAUUCUCACUCGGUCCCUUUUAUUGGCCACAAGAUCUGGACUACAGCGCCAUCUCUUGACCAUUUCAGAACACAACACACUGAACGCCCGAUGAUCGCCUGGAGCUCGCUCUCCGAAAGCGUCUGAGCAAAUGUUCAAAUCUUUAUUAAGCGAGCGCAUAUUUGAACUAAAAACAGAUACAUUCUCGCAUGAACAACUCUUAAAGCUACAUUUCAAGACCAAAUAACAGUAUUGUGUGCCUUUUACUGCGCUACGCAUGAAACACAGCUGUCAUAUAUGGACUAGAUUUGUCUUAAUUACUUCAGCAGACAUUCCCCGCUUCCUUAAUUGAAUGUUUUUCAAAUAUAUUUAUGCUAACUUAAAAUAAGACGUCUUCGUCUCAGUAUCGCUGCGGAGAUGGGCACUAGAUGGCGCCAUUGGUCAUACAACUUUGUCUACUAAACUCAUUUCAGACAUUUAAGCAUCCGCCUUCAGAUCAGAAGUUUUUUGAAAUAAUGAGAAACGUUUCACUCAAGUGUCCAAACACUUUUGACCGGUGCUAUUCUUAUUAGGCUUGUUCGAGUUGACCCACACUAGCCUGCCACCGACUGGCGAGAUCAGCCGAUUGCUGGCGAGACAAGAGCCGUCACAUCGGACACUUCCUGCUUCCCAUAGGGAGCUGAACCUACAGCAGACCACGUGAUAUUCAUCGGCGCUCGCUCUGCAUUGUGAGGCUGGGGACGGGAGCCAAUCGCGUCGCGGAAUGAGAAUGGACACGGCCACUCAGCGCGAUCACACCCUUUGAGAGAUUGGAUGACGAGCGCAGGUAGCGGAUAAAUCAGCAAACAGCCUGCCCCUGCCGCUCAGUCUCCUGCUGAACCUCCACAGUCUGGGUCUUCAGAAACGGCUCCUGCCCCACGAUCAUUCCUGAGGCCUCCUCCAACUUUGUCAAUGUCACACUUUGGCGGCUCCCAGUUGGCUUCACUGAAGCCCAAUUUAGUAGAUCGGAAGCCCUCUCCUUCUUCAUCCUCUUUGAGGCUCCCCACCCCAUCUCCUUCAUCUGUGAGGACCGCCACCCUCUCUCCAUCCUCUUUGAGGAGCCACAGUCCUGGUUCAUCCUCUGAGAGGCUGCUGUCUGUGUAUGGCAGGAACAUCCUCUCCUAAAUUGAUCAAAUGAAGGCCAGCAUCACAGUCAUCUUUGGUAAUAUCUUAAAGAUGGAUUCCACCAAGCAGGUAAUAAACAGUCAGACUAUGUUAUACACCAAGAUGUUCUCAAAUACUAACACACUGUAAGACCCUACCAGUCGUUUCUAACACUGUUGCCAGCUAGUUAUUGUAGCUCUUAUUGAGGUUUAAACGUUGAAUUGUUGUUAGUCAUUAUUAGUGUUUGUUUUAGUUGAGCUGUUGAAUCGUAUUAUUAAUGUGAAUUCUUCCUGAACGUGUGUUCUAAACAAUGUUACUUUAUGGUGGAAGAUUGUUGCGAAGUGGUGUGUCUCAAAUGAACGAUGUGCUUCAGCUUUAGUCGUUUACAAAAAGUGCUGAUCUGAUAAAUACACAAAAAUUCAACUAUUGCACUAGCAGUAUACACCGAGACAUCAGCAAUCCACACUUGAAUCUCGACAAUGGUGACAAUCAACUAAACCGCUUCAUGCUGCAAUGCUUGCUGUGCGCAUAGUUCAAAACUUAUCCAUGAUUGUUUUCCACCAUUAAUGAGGUUUGUUGGUCGAGUGUAUAAGUGUGCCUCAAUGGCCAAUAACUCAUAUUACAGAGAGCUUUCCAUCAGCUGGAACCAUAAAUGUUAAAUUAUGAUUUAAAUCAGAUGCAGUUUCAGCUAUGAGGCAAACAUUUAUAAAUUGAACAGCUUUUCAAUAUGAUUGAAUAAGUGUACGUUACAAAACACUAAUGCAGUUACUGAAAAAUAUGAAUCAAAUAGCAAUUCAAAAGACGGUCAAGGUUCAAGAGUCAAACCAAAGCACACACUGAUCACCAGCAUGGAUACUUCAACCAACAAUGGAAAUUCUGUGUUCAUUUGCUCACCUUCAAGAGUCUGCAUACAUUUCUUUGUUCUGAUGAAUACAGAGAAAGAUAUUUGGAAGAAUGCUUAUAAGAAAACAGAUCUCAACACCCAUUGACUACCAUAGAAAAACAUGUAUUUUCCAAAGAAGACGACAUUUUGAAGAAUGUAGGACAGCAAACAGUUCUGUCACUUAUGACUACUAUUGUAUUUUCAUAUUAUGGGAGUCAAUCGGAGGCUAAAUCUGUCUGGUUAUACAGUAAGCAUUCUUCCAAAUAUCUUUCACUGUGUUCAUCACAACAAAUACAUUCAUACAGAUUUGGAGCGACUCAAAAGUGAAAAUCUUAAUGAAACCAUUACGCACUAGAGUUUAACCUCUGUUAAAUCUCAAUAAGAGCUUUUGUAGAAGUAUGACAGAAAUAAAGUGAAAGUGGUGUCUGUAAUAAGUGAAAAUGUUAAUGGCGCUUGUAUGUUAUUCUCCUCUGGUGAGAUCUUGACAGAUUUAUGUGUUCAUCUGUUACUCACAGUUGAGGUUCAUCUAAGACCGUGUGACUUAAGUGAGUUAAAAGAUCAUUUAAUGAUGUAUCUUCAAACAGUCAUUGCAGUAGUUUACUGUAAAGACCUACAGUAACUGGAAGGCAAUAGUGUUGCCAAUGUAUUACUGUUGAAAUGGCUGGUAAGGUCUUGCGGAUAAACGUUAAUAUUGUUGUCAGCGGUAACAUUACAUCAUGAAUAUGUUGUUACUAGUGGUGGGCCGUUUUCAGUGAGACAUUUAUAAAUGAUAAAAAAAAUGUCGCCGUUAAUCUAUUCUCAAAGUUGGGUUGGGAGCUGGGUCUAUACUACGCAAGCUAUGAUGACUUUCACCUUGAUAUUUUAGCGCGGAUGUAUACCUAGCUUACUUGCACUGUAGGGGGCGAGAACGAGAUUUUCAACUCGCGUGAUUCGCGCCACCUCAUCAUCUCAUAACCAGGGCUUCAUUCGCGCGAUUCGCGCAGCAAGUAGGUCUAUUGGCUCUUUGCAUUAACAUAUAAAUCACUGCCGCUUGACGCGCCAUUCGCGUUUGGUCUGAACACAACAUAACGUUACUGUGAAAUUACCGCAUCAAACGUGACGUGCUAACAUGGAUGCAGCUAUGAAGCCGCCGGGUUUGAUUCAGGGAAUAUUAAUUUUUAAGAAGCUUCCCAAUAGAAACAUCGACAAGACUAAGGUUGUUUGCACCUUGUGCAAUGCGGAAUUGGUUUAAAAAAAAACUUUCUCUCAACAGGUAGUGGUCUAGCUUUAGUUGAAACCAGUAACUUUGUAUUGAGAUCUAAUGUAUUAUGGCUCCUGUAUGACAUAUCGCUUGUUGCUCCCUCACUCUUUGUAAGUCGCUUUGGAUAAAAGCGUCUGCUAAAUGACUAAAUGUAAAUGAACUGUAGGAGCUCUUCCAGUCUCAUGUACCACCUAAACGCAUAUCAUCCCUUAGCUUAUUGCGGAAGUAAACACAAGUUCAUCUUAUUGAACAUAAUUUAAUUUUCAUCACCAAUUAUCAUAGUAGAACAGCUUUCUCAAGCAGUUUGUGAUGCAUUUUGGAAACAAGAGAUGAGCCCCUGGUCUAAUGCGCCACCUGGCUUGAGAAACCCGUUCUCAAAGACUUACUUUUAGUCAUUAUUUGGGUAUCACACAUAUUCUGAAUGCCUUCGGCAGAAUUCAAAUGAGCCAUUUUAAUCUAGAUUAAAAAAAUUAAUCUAUGCCCACCACUAGUUGUUACAUUUGUAAA